AGCUUUAUAGUCAAUUAUAUGAUAUUAGAAUGCAAAUCUGAAGGAGUAGGUUAACCUUUAAAGCUA
rnacentral:tRNA from 1 species